UCCCAGGGUUCAGUAUGCCCUGCAAUCAGCACACCCCCAUCUGACUGCUGUGGGAGCAGCUGCAUUAUCUGCAUUUGGCCAACUGUUGCUCUCCAGUACAGAGAUAAUAGAGAACUCGGUAAGAUGGAAAGAUUGUUUAUCUGCUGAGCAGGGCUUAUAAAGUCAUCUGGCAUAUGCUUCGAAGCGGUCUAAUCCAAGAGGGCCAUAAUUAUCAUUCUGAACUUGAGUCCCUCGAAUGGUGUUUCUCUCUUUUAACUUACAACACUUUAAGGGCUGGUCUGUGGACAAACUUCAGAAAUCUAAGAAGUUUGACCCAAAAAACCCACCCCAAAACAAACAAACACAAACAAAAAACAUCCUAAGGAACAAGAUCUUUAUUUCUGAUGCUUUCUAAACACAGAUGCAUGCAGAUACUUUCUGUUGCUUUAUUGUGCUCUUCUCUGUAACACU